rnacentral:rRNA from 1 species
GACAGAGGAUGCAAGCGUUAUCCGGAAUUAUUGGGCGUAAAGAGUACGUAGGCGGCUUAUCAAGUCAGGGGUUAAAUCCCGCAGCUUAACUGCGGUUCGGCCUUUGAAACUGAUCGGCUAGAGUAUGGUAGGGGUAGAGGGAAUUCCCGGUGUAGCGGUGAAAUGCGUAGAUAUCGGGAAGAACACCUGUGGCGAAAGAGCUCUACUGGCCCAUAACUGACGCUGAGGUAUGCAAGCUAGGGGAGCGAAUGGG